GAGUGCCGGUGUGGAUGGAUCUGGUGGGUUCUUUCUUGCUAAGGUGAAAAAGCUGUCGGCAUAGUGGAGACAAACGGUUCUUUGUUCUGAUCGAUGUUGUUGGAUUGCUUUUCAGUGGAAGACUAAUGAGGUCCUCCAAUGGCAGCAGAGCUGGUCUGCUGAGUGACACGCCUUAAUCCCUCAGGAUAGCCUGCAGUGAAGAACCUAACAUCUGCAUGGCUUCAGUGAAGAUGAAGGUUCCCUGGGCAACGUAUACCAUGGUGGGGGAGACGCUGCGGCAGCUGAUUCCCAGUCACAUGCAGUGUUCCAUGGGCUGUGGUGGGCGUGCCUGCAAGUAUGAGAAUCCAUCCUGCUGGAGUGAAGACCAGCAGGCUAUCAAGGGCCUCUACUCCUCCUGGAUUACUGAGAAUAUCCUGGCUAUGGCAAGGCCUUCAACCGAAAUCAUAGAAAAAUACAACAUCAUUGAACAAUUUCAAAGCAGGUAUGGCCUGAGGACAAUCAUCAACUUGCAGAGCCCUGGGGAGCACGCCAGCUGCGGCCACCCCCUGGAGCGUUACAGUGGCUUUACGUAUCGCCCAGAGGCCUUCAUGGAGGUGGGAAUUUAUUUUUACAACUUUAGAUGGAGGGACUAUGGUGUGGCAUCUCUCACAACAAUCCUAGACAUGGUGAAGGUCAUGUCAUUCGCAUGUCAGGAGGGGAAGAUGGCCAUCCACUGUCAUGCUGGACUUGGAAGAACAGGUGUGCUGGUGGCUUGUUUCCUGGUGUUCACAACAAGGAUGAGUGCAGACCAAGCCAUUGUGAUCGUACGAGAAAGGAGGCCAAAUUCAAUUCAAACCAGGGAACAGCUGCUUUGUGUGAGGGAGUUUGCACAGUUCCUGGUCCCUUUGAGAACUAUCUUCUCGUGUGCCAGUCCCAAAGCCAAUGUUGUCACUCUCUCUCAGUUCCUAAUCCGUCAACAGCACCUGCUACAUGGCUAUGAGGCACGGCGAUUUAAGAACAUGCCAAGACUCAUACAUCUCAUAUGCAGGCUCCUUCUGGAUAUUUCUGAGACCCGGCAGGUCAUUGAGGAAGAGGUUCUGGAAAUUCCUGACUUAUCAGGGGAGAAAAUUAUGUCCCAAGAAACCAUUCGACCACCAGACAGUGAUAUGAUAGGAAAGGACAUCCUUCGUCUACCUGGCCCACAAGCCAUUGCCAAACGAACCUCCGAAUUUUACAUUCGAAGGAGCCUUAGCUACAGUGACCCAGACCUUUGCAGACUACAAUCCACUGACCAUUUUCAGAACAAUCAAACUGAGUCACUGUCAACUCAUUGUAGCAGGAAAAAAUCCUUCUAUGACACCACUGGCUCAGUCUGGGAGCAGCCUCACUUUCACAAGAGGCAGCUUCUUAAAAACAUGAAACGCAGCAAAUCUUUGGGCUCCCCAUACAAUCGUAGGAAAAUCAGCAACGCAACCAUUUUGUCAACUUGGCUAUUGCAGCAGAGCUCAAAGUUUGCCCAAGAGUCAUCAACAGGCAACGAACCAGCGUCUUGCACUGCUGCUUAUGAAGACAGGGACACGUCCGCAGAUGUCCCCUUUAUCACGAUACAGACAGAGCUCACCCUGGAGAACCGACGUUUACUAGUAGCCCAGGCACUUGGUGUGGACCUGGAAGAAGAAGGGGAGGAAGAGUAUGGACAGAAAAUCUCAAAUUGGCAGAAGGAACUGAACUCUAAAGACGGGGCUUGGGAACGCUUGUGCGUGGAGAAGGAUCCCUUUAUCCUCUCUGGUUUGUUGUGGUCUUGGCUGGAGCAGCUGAAGGAACCUCUAAUCUGCCAAAAGGAGGUGAAAACACUGGAGAAGAAUAAGCAAGAUGGCAACACUAUCCUUAAUUUAUUGGACAAGGUCAUAAAUUUGUCCAACCUAUACUGACCUUUAAGUCUUAUGGUUUGGCCGUUGUGCAUAGCUGUCUAGUUGAAGUGUGAGUGCGUGCGUGUGUAUUAUGUUUAUAUUACAUUGUGGGGGACCAAAUGUCCCCCACAAUGUGAUAAAAACCUUUUAUUUUAAUGUUGUGGGGACCAUUUUUCAGGUGCUCACAAAGAUCUGUAACUGCAAUCAAAAAGCUAAUACUUAGAAAAGUCUCAUAUUUAGUUUGGUUACACAAUGGUUAAGGUUAAGAGUUAAUGGUAAUGGUUAAGGUUAGAGUUGCGUAGGGGCUUAAGGUUGUCAUGUUGGGAUUAGAGUUUUCCCCAUAGAAAUGAAUGGAGAUUCUCCACAUAGAUAUUUCAAAAUUACAAACCUGAGUGUGUGUGUAUCUAUGUAUGUGCAUUUGUGUGUGUGCGUGUGUGUGUUUCAAUUCAUGUACUCAGAUCUGCAAUAUACUGUAUAUACCACCCUUGUGCAUUUAAUGGCCAAUUUAAAUAAGACAAUAAUUACUUUUUUACAUAAAUUUGUGUUUUUCUUAUCUCGGGGACUAUUGACUGUUUUGAUUAGGAUUAAGCAAAUAAUUUUGUCUGUGGCUUAAGGGCAAACAAGUCUGAAAGGACAAUGAUGGCUUUGGAAAAGAUCUAUUGUACAUAUGUGAGCUGUACAUAUGUGAGCUGUACAUAUGUGAGCUGUACAUAUGUCUCAAUCAGUGUUUGCCACCCCUGGCCUUGAGGACCCUCAGACAGUCCAUAUUUUUGCUCCUUCCCAGCGCCUGGCAAAAACCCUGGCAUGUCUGGGGGUCCCUGACCAAGUCGGGAAACACUGUGGGAUCCAAGAGGACACUAAUGUGCAUUAUUGACUGCUUUGCCCAUUUGUUCAUUGUACCAGAGAAAGUUGAAGAGGCGUUUCUAAACAGGACAAUAAAGGCUUUCACAAAG